GUUGAUGCUGACACUACUUUCUGAAGCAGACUUUUGUGAGGUUGCAAAUCCCUUCCCAACCUGAGAAGGCUCCCAUUGCUGUGGAGUGCAUUGAACGACAUCAUGGCCUAAAAGAACAUACCCGGGGAUAAUACCAGCAGCAACAAGUUCCACGCAACCGCCAAAAUGCACGCCGCUGUUUUGAAGCACGUCUGAGUGAACCGAUGGUUUCCAUGGAUUCCAUAAAGAUUCAAUUGAUUUGCUGGUUUUUAAUUGUCCAAUUAUUUUUAAAAAUAAACAUUUUGGUGAAUGUUGUUUGUGUUCUUCCAACGGAUCAUCUUCUUUCCCCCAUUGGUGUAAUCGUACUGCACACGAAAAACAUUCUAC